rnacentral:tRNA from 1 species
GCCUGGGUGGCUCAGUCGGUUAAGCGUCCGACUUCAGCUCAGGUCAUGAUCUCGUGGUUCAUGGGUUCGAGCCCCGUGUCGGGCU